UGGGGAGUAGUCUAACGGUAGGACGCUUGGUUCUGGCCCAAGUAGUUGGGGUUCGAAUCCCUGCUCCCCAGCCA
rnacentral:tRNA from 1 species